AAACACUUGAAAACAUACUUUAAGGAUGAAAUCAGUGCAAGAUUAUAUAUAAAUAGGGGGAGUUUAUUUGAAAAGAAUUGAUUUUGAUCCUUGACAUUCUUGUUCUUAGUAUUUUAAUGCAUGACUUAACACAUGGUAUAUUUUGCAUAUGGUAUGAUGUCUUGAGUUAUGGGUUCUCAAUAUUUUGUAAUGCUUCAUACUUGGACAAUUUGAUUGAAUGUUUGAAAUGCUACAUAACAUCUUUUGUUUGGUAUUAUUGAAAAGAAAUUUCAGAUUUGUCAUUCACAAUCAUUGUUAAAAUCUGAAAGCUAAAUAAAAUUGUAGAAAGGAGAAGAGAAGAACAUCUCUAUUUAGGAAAAAUAA
rnacentral:lncRNA from 1 species